CCUGCAGUCACCUUGAAAACUUCUACUGACAUUGUGUGAAGGAACGGGUAAUAAAUGGCUCCUUAAUAGCAUGGAAUGUCAGAAGAGGGGAAUCUGAAAUCAGUUUGGAGGAAAAAGAGAGAAGCUCAUUUUUACUGCAGAAGACUGUGGCCACGUCCCAGUGGAGCAGUUCCCAGAAAUGCUGUAGUGCCUUGCAGUUUACCUCCAUGGUGAAAUGUAGGAGAGCUUACCUUGCUGGUUAGCAAAUAAUUCCCCAGAGUCUGAGGGGGAAAAAUCCAUCUUGGCAGCUGAACAAGUUUGCAAGUUUGUCUGCAGAUGCUGGCAGAGCUGAUCCUCUCACCAGAGUGGACCAUGAGUGGCUGAGGAGGAGACUUGCACUUUCCCUGAGGGAUGAAGAGCACAGGACUAUUCUGGCCCUGACUGACAGACAAGAGAAUUAAAACCGCAGCUAUGGAUUCCUCUGUCCCAGGAGCCCUGAGCCACUGUGAUGAUAUUUGCACCCCACAAACAUGCCAACCACUGGGAAUUUUGUUUUCCAGCACCCAGCUUGCCUUGGAGAGCAGAAAUGCCUUUUAUUUUCUGUAAGUGGUGGGAUGACUUUCCUGCUCGUGAAGAUGUAGGGCAAGAAGUGCUUUGGACUGAGAUCCCACACUAAGUCACACCAUCACGCCCACUCGCCAUAUCGCUCUGCUCAAUCUGGACCCAGAGGCAUGGAAUGAGUUUUGUAUAGGAGAAUAAUUCCAACUGCGAUCUACUUAAGGAGCCUUAGCUUCUUCAGAGCAUCUCAGCCCACACCACCCAGCACAAUCACCUGCAAAGGCAGAGGCACAAGCA
ensembl:lncRNA